GUGAGGAAUAUUGGACAAUGGGCGCAAGCCUGAUCCAGCCAUGCCGCGUGCAGGAAGACGCAUCUAUGGUGUGUAAACUGCUUUUGUACGGGAAGAAACACUCCCUCGUGAGGGAGCUUGACGGUACCGUAAGAAUAAGGAUCGGCUAACUCCGUGCCAGCAGCCGCGGUAAUACGGAGGAUCCAAGCGUUAUCCGGAAUCAUUGGGUUUAAUGGGUCCGUAGGCGGUUUAAUAAGUCAGUGGUGAAAGCCCAUCGCUCAACGAUGGAACGGCCAUUGAUACUGUUAGACUUGAAUUACAAGGAAGUAACUAGAAUAUGUAGUGUAGCGGUGAAAUGCUUAGAUAUUACAUGGAAUACCAAUUGCGAAGGCAGGUUACUACUUGUGGAUUGACGCUGAUGGACGAAAGCGUGGGGAGCGAACAGGAUUAGAAACCCGGGUAGUCCA
rnacentral:rRNA from 1 species